UACAGAGGGUGCAAGCGUUGUUCGGAAUUAUUGGGCGUAAAGGGCGCGUAGGCGGUGCGGUAAGUCUGAUGUGAAAUCUCCGGGCUCAACUCGGAGUCUGCAUCAGAAACUGCCGGGCUUGAGUAUGGGAGAGGUGAGUGGAAUUCCUGGUGUAGCGGUGAAAUGCGUAGAUAUCAGGAGGAACACCUGUGGCGAAAGCGGCUCACUGGACCAUAACUGACGCUGAUGCACGAAAGCUAGGGGAGCAAACAGG
rnacentral:rRNA from 1 species